ensembl:snRNA U6 U6 spliceosomal RNA
GAAAUCAGAGCGCAAUUCUUUUCUGAAAUGGAAUGAUACAGAAAAGAUUAGCAUGGUCCCUGCACAAGGAUGACACACAAGCUCCUGGCAGGGAAGCCCAAGGUC